AUGGGGUCGGCUUCCAGAUCCGCGCCCCCAUGGGUUGGACCUGGUGCUCCAUCUCCAUGGCGGCGUCUGCUUCCGCUCGACCAUCUGCGUCCUUCUGCUGCUCGUCGAGCGCGAGCGCCGACGCGGCGGGGCGGGGCUUGCUCGACCUGUUCGGGCUACUCGUGCUGGUCGACAACAGCCUGUCGGAGUAGACCGCUGUCUACUUCUACCUGGUCAAGGGUGCAGACGGGAAGCUCAGCACUCACUUCUGCCAAGACGCCUUCAGGUCAUUGA
rnacentral:rRNA from 1 species